GUGCUGCUGGAGGUGCAUUGGGGUGUCAUUAGCCAGCACGGGAUUAGAGUAGAGAAGCCAUAGUUCAACGUUAUAUCCUAUGGUUAGAAAACAGAAAGACAAGAGCUGAGCACAUUGCAAUGUCCUUCCUGAUUUAUAGGUAAGUCAUUGUACAUGCUGGGUUUCCCAGUUUAAUUCAGAGUAAAUUUCAGGGUUUAUUUACAGAAGUCCACAAUGGCCUAUAUGUGUCC